rnacentral:rRNA from 1 species
UGAGUUCAGACCGGCCGCCUGUUUAUCAAAAACAUCGCCUCUUGCCCCCAUGCGUAUAAGAGGUCUCGCCUGCCCUGUGAUAUUUUUUAACGGCCGCGGUAUCUUGACCGUGCGAAGGUAGCGCAAUCACUUGUCUUUUAAUUGAAGGCCCGUAUGAAAGGCAUUACGAGAGUUUAUCUGUCUUUAUUCUCCAAUCAAUGAAAUUAAUCUCUUCGUGCAGAAGCGAAGAUACAAACAUAAGACGAGAAGACCCUAUGGAGCUUCAAACACUUAAGUUACUUCUAAACAUAAACACCACCCCCACGGGCAUAAUAUUUAACCAAGAACCUUUAACUUAACUUGUUUUUGGUUGGGGUGACCAAGGAGAAAAACAAAACCUCCUUAUCGAAUGUGUGAGCAAUCACUCAAAAAUUAGAACUACUAUUCUAAUUAAUAGAAAAUCUAACGAACAAUGACCCAGGGAACACCCCCUGAUCAAUGAACCAAGUUACCCUAGGGAUAACAGCGCAAUCCUUUCCAAGAGCCCUCAUCACAGAAAGGGUUUACGACCUCGAUGUUGGAUCAGGACAUCCUAAUGGUGUAGCAGCUAUUAAGGGUUCGUUUGUUCAACGAUUAAAGUCCUACAUGAUCUGAGUUCAGACCGGUCGCCUGUUUAUCAAAAACAUGAUCUGAGUUCAGA